UCAAACUUGGUCAUUUAGAGGAAGUAAAAGUCGUAACAAGGUCUCCGUUGGUGAACCAGCGGAGGGAUCAUUAAAGAGUUCUAUAACUCCCAAACCCAUGUGAACAUACCUUCUGUUGCCUCGGCAGGUGCCCCUCGCUCGCGCGGGGCGUCCAGCCUGCCGGCGGCCCAACCAACCCUGAUUUAUCACUGAGCUCUGAAUACUAUAACUAAAUAAGUUAAAACUUUCAACAACGGAUCUCUUGGUUCUGGCAUCGAUGAAGAACGCAGC
rnacentral:misc_RNA from 1 species